GAUGAACGCUGGCGGCGUGCCUAAUACAUGCAAGUCGAGCGAACAGACGAGGAGCUUGCUCCUCUGACGUUAGCGGCGGACGGGUGAGUAACACGUGGAUAACCUACCUAUAAGACUGGGAUAACUUCGGGAAACCGGAGCUAAUACCGGAUAACAUGUUGAACCGCAUGGAUCAACAGUGAAAGACGGUCUUGCUGUCACUUAUAGAUGGAUCCGCGCCGCAUUAGCUAGUUGGUAAGGUAACGGCUUACCAAGGCGACGAUGCGUAGCCGACCUGAGAGGGUGAUCGGCCACACUGGAACUGAGACACGGUCCAGACUCCUACGGGAGGCAGCAGUAGGGAAUAUUCCGCAAUGGGCGAAAGCCUGACGGAGCAACGCCGCGUGAGUGAAGAAGGUCUUCGGAUCGUAAAACUCUGUUAUUAGGGAAGAACAAAUGUGUAAGUAACUAUGCACGUCUUGACGGUACCUAAUCAGAAAGCAACGGCUAACUACGUG
rnacentral:rRNA from 1 species